rnacentral:ncRNA from 1 species
UCACCGCCGGGAAGCGAUGAUCCUCGAGGGGACCAGACGGUCGCCACGAUGAGGCGUUGGCCUCAUCAGCCCGUCGAGGGGAGCUAGUGGCGAGCCCGACCCGGGAGUGC